GGGGGGGGGGGGGGGGGGGGGGGGGGGGGGGGGGGGGGGGGGGGGCGGGGGUUCGGGUGCUGAGGAGUGGCGGGCGGGUGGGUGAUGCGGCGGAACGUGGGCAGGGGGGGGGGAUAAGGAGGCGGGAGCUGUGCUCAUACUGCCUGUGAUCUGAGGAUGGAAGCGGGGGACCGAGCAGCAAUGUUUGGCCUCGCGCCUUUGGAGGGGCCGAUGGCGGAUUAGCUCGUUGGUGGGGUCAAGGCCUACCAAGGCGACGCUCCGUAGCUGGGCUGAGAGGCCGACCAGCCACACUGGAACUGAGACACGGCCCAGACUCCUACGGGAGGCAGCAGUGGGGAAUUUUGGACAAUGGGCGCAAGCCUGAUCCAGCAAUGCCGCGUGCGGGAAGAAGGCCUUCGGGUUGUAAACCGCUUUUGGCAGGAACGAAACGUUGUCCGCUAAUACCGGGCGCUAAUGACGGUACCUGCAGAAUAAGCACCGGCUAACUACGUG
rnacentral:rRNA from 1 species